GUCCUAGUUACCAGCACGUUAUGUGGGCACUCUAAGGAGACUGCCGGUGACAAACCGGAGGAAGGUGGGGAUGACGUCAAGUCAUCAUGGCCCUUACGGCCUGGGCUACACACGUGCUACAAUGGUCGGUACAAAGGGUUGCCAAGCCGCGAGGUGGAGCUAAUCCCAUAAAACCGAUCGUAGUCCGGAUCGCAGUCUGCAACUCGACUGCGUGAAGUCGGAAUCGCUAGUAAUCGUGAAUCAGAAUGUCACGGUGAAUACGUUCCCGGGCCUU
rnacentral:rRNA from 1 species